AUUGGUUUGGCGCCAUUGCUGUCUUGAGUUACUGCAGUGUUUCAAAGUGCAUUCUAGUCGUGUCUGUCCUAGUCGUAAAAUCUAGUCUUUUUAGAAGCUAAUUUCAUUUCAAAACGAUGGCAGCUGGUCAGGAAAAAUGGCAGAAGGAUGCAGCAGAUCAAAAUUUUGACUAUAUGUUCAAAAUAUUGAUAAUUGGGAAUAGCAGUGUAGGAAAAACGUCAUUUUUAUUUAGAUAUGCUGAGGAUUCUUUCACGUCAGCCUUCGUCAGCACCGUGGGCAUUGACUUCAAAGUGAAAACUGUCUUUAGGCAAGACAAAAGAGUUAAACUUCAAAUUUGGGAUACAGCUGGACAAGAGCGUUACAGAACUAUCACUACAGCUUAUUAUCGCGGAGCCAUGGGCUUUAUUCUUAUGUAUGAUGUUACAAAUGAAGAAUCUUUCAAUAGUGUUCAUGACUGGGUCACACAAAUUAAGACGUAUUCAUGGGAUAAUGCCCAAGUGGUACUGGUCGGAAAUAAGUGCGAUAUGGAAGACGAACGAGUGGUAUCAACCGAAAGAGGAAAACAAUUGUCUGAUCAGCUAGGUUUGGAGUUUUUCGAGACGUCAGCAAAAGAAAAUGUCAAUGUCAAAGCAGUUUUUGAGCGUUUGGUGGACAUCAUCUGUGACAAAAUGUCUGAAAGUCUUGAUUCUGAUCCCAGCUUAGUCAGUGCUUCUAAAGGUGCUAGACUGAAUGAGCAUACAACACCAUCUAAUGCAAGCUGUCAGUGCUAACCUAACCUAAUCUUAUCUGUGGAUUUUCUUGGUGUUUGCAUCAACCUGUUGCUCCUAAAAUUGUUUUGUCUCCAUUAUAUGUUUCAUUUCCUCUUGCUUAGUGGAUCAUGACUCAUGAAGUAUACAUCCAGUCUGAAAUUGAAUGCACCAGGAGCUGGCAGAAAUUUUUGUGUGUAAUGAAUUGAAAAGCCAUCCUUCUGGAAUUUUACAGCCAUAACCCAUGGAGGGUUAAAACUGAAUAACUGAUAUAUGCUUGAGUUCCCAGAGUUUGGCAUAUUUGAAAAUUUAGUGAUUACUUUUAAGGUGAUUGUGGUAAUACUUACGUACUAAACACAAAUGAUUCUAUAAAAAGCAGAUUUUUAAACUGUUUUGUGUGUGGGGGGGGGUGUUAGGCUUGAUUUCAAAAGCACUUAGGUACACAGUGUCCAUUCGGCACUGUAAAGUCAUGAGCCUAUUGGGGGAGGGGUUGCAGUUUCCCUGCAUCAGGAAUGAAAAGGUUAAAGAUUGUAUGUUAAAAUUUUUGCUAUGUGUGGAAAGGGUUAAAUAAUUUCUUUCAAAAUAAAGUAGAAUUUCAAGCUUGGAGUAAACUUGCUAUCAUUCGCACAAGGUAACUUAUAGAUUAUAACCUGCAUGAGAUAUUUAGCUUAAAUUUAUGCAAACUGUAUUGGGAAUUUAUUUCCAAAGUAACAUUUUGAAAUGCUCACACUUUUUUACAGCUCUGCAUUUGAAGCAGAGCAGUCUUUAUUAAAUUUGAAAUUGAAGUAUUUCUAUUCUAUAAAAUUAUUGAGAUAAUAAGAAAUAUGACUCUUUUAUAAAUUUAUGUACAUAUUGAUGCAUAACUAUCUUUCCUAUAAAUAUUCAUAUGUAUAUAAAGUAAUUUUCACUGAAUUUUAUAAGAGCUCUUACUAUUUUGUAUAGCUUCUAACUCAUAUUAGAUAUCAGAUGAAAAAGUAUCUGUUGUUAAUGCUCGUCAUAAAAUAAUUUUUGAAAACCUUGGACUAAUGUGUUCUUUAAUUUUUAAAUCAGAAUAUUUGAAUACAUCUAUAAGAUCUUUGUUUUUGUUUUAUUUUGUAUAUAUAUGUUAUAUAUGUCAUGACUGAUAGCCAUUUAUAAAUAUAGUUUAGAUUUCAGGAAUUUUAUUUUGAUGCAUUUUUGGUAAAAUUCUAGUCAAUUUAUGCAUUUAUAAAAUAAAAAGUAUUUCUAAGCCCUUUUUAUAGCAUAUAGAAGUUCUGUCAAUUAAGAAAAGGGGGUGACAUUUUAGAUUUUGUAAAAAAUAUAUAUAUAUGGUUGUAAACGAUUUACAGGUAUGUUUUUGCAUUUAUAUUUUUCACAAGGAAUUAAACGCGUUUGCUGUAUUUCUGCCUUUUAAAAUUUUAUUUUCUACUGUAUAUUUAUUUGAGGCAGUGUGAGUAUGAAAAUUGUGCAUUUUGCAUUUAUUUCUAAAACUUGUAAUUUGCAUUGUAAUAAUUGUCUUAUAUUUGUAUCAAUGAAGUGUGUGUAAAUUAAUCAGACUGCUUACUCACAUUGGCCUUAUUUCAUAGGGUAUUGUGCUUUUAUUCCUACCAGAAUUGAGAUAAAAGUAUAUUAAUAAAAUUCCUAGUCAUUUUUGCAUAUAUAUUUGUAUGUAACAGUAUGUAUUUUUAUGAUAAAAUUUAGAAGUGAGGUACAAAUAUUGCAUUACUAACAUUCCUAAUAAUUAUUACAUAUCUAUUUCAAAGUAACAAUGUGCAUAUUUAUGCAUAUGUAACUUUAUGAUUGAAUUUAUUCUCAUGAAUGUCGAAGUUUUUGAAUAAAUGUUAAUAUAUAAUUUCUGUUAAUGUUAUUUUACAAAGAAAUAUGUAAAUUUUAAUUGGAUGUAUUAAGCGGUAACUCUGUGUGAUUUUACGUAUAACUAUUUUCUGAUACUUAUUCUUUGUGUAUCUAAAAGCAUCAGAAUUAAAGUAAGUUUUUUUUUAUUUGUUAAGAAAUUGUUUUUUUAAGUAGUUUUUUUUUUUUUUUUUUUUUUUUUUUUUUUUUUUUGUGUGUGUGUGUGUGAAAAUUUAUCUGCAUUAAACAAGCUGUUUGAUAUAGCAAACAUAUAUUAUAUAACAGGCUUUGCGAUAAAGUGAAUGACAUUGGUGCAGUUUGCAGUUUGAUGCCAAAUGUUGUAAACAUCCAUGAAAAUGAAAUUAACUACUGGUUUGCUUUGCUUUAUUUACUGUGUUUGACGGCAUAUAAGACGCACUUUUUUUCCUAAAUUUGGUCUCAAAAACGUUACCUGUGUCGUAGGCGUGAAGGACGCAGGUUAACUUUCAAUACUGAAUGCUAUUUUUAGCCCGGAUAAAGGUCUAGACACACGUAACUUUUUCUACAUCUACGUGUGUGUGGCCUUCUAAACAAGGGUGCGUCUUAUAUGCUGUCAAGUACGGUAAUUGUGGCAGAUCACAUGAGGGCUAUCUGAUUAAGAAAAGGUUGCUUUCAUUCAGGACUUUCUAAGGGAAACUGGCUCGUAUCCACGUUACAUGGAGAAAACCAUAAAAAUGCCCAUGCAGUCAUUCCAUUAGCUGGGAUUCAAACCCUGUCAAACUACCAGUUUUCGUUGACCUUUUACUGCUCAGCCGCUGAUGAACAAAAAUUAACUAUUGUAAACAAUAAAUGAUCAUUCAUUAUCUGUGCAACACAGUCUAUUUAAUAUAUAUAUAUUUGACAUAAAUUUCUAUUAUUGUAUUUAAUUUAAUUUUGUUAGCAUUUAUUUCAGCUAACAACAUAAUUAAACAAAACUUAUUUAAUGUAUACAUUAAUUAUUAUAUUUGAUACAGUUAUGUAAGCAGUUUAAAAUAUAGCAUAAUUCUAUAAUAAUUUAAAGUAAUACAAAGUCCAAGAUCUGGACUCAUCAGAACUUUCACGAUUCCGGAUAUUAGAUCAUCAGUUUAAAAUCUGGUAAGCUGGCAUGUAGAAAUUAUAAAAUUUAAAAAUAAAUAUGAAGUCAGGAUUUAUGAAAUAAUGAUAAAAAUCAUAAUGCUUCAAAAUU